UACGUAGGGUGCGAGCGUUGUCCGGAAUUAUUGGGCGUAAAGAGCUUUUAGGCCGUUUGUCGCGUCUGCUGUGAAAAUCCGGGGCUCAACCCCGGACUUGCAGUGGGUACGGGCAGACUGGAGUGUGGUAGGGGAGACUGGAAUUCCUGGUGUAGCGGUGGAAUGCGCAGAUAUCAGGAGGAACACCGAUGGCGAAGGCAGGUCUCUGGGCCACUACUGACGCUGAGAAGCGAAAGCAUGGGGAGCGAACAGG
rnacentral:rRNA from 1 species